AAAAGCAUAUACAUGUCGGCUUGUGGAUAGUGCUUCACAUCGCACGACUGAAAGUCUCAUCCGGUGAAACUAACACAAAGUAGCUCUUUCAUCGCUCUGAUAUUGACUGAAAUAGCCGACAAUGAAGAUUGAUGAAGCUCUGGGAGCUGUUGGAGGUCAUCCUCCUAACAGGACAAACCAAAGGAGGCGCAGUAUUGAAUUGGAUCCCCCUGAAAUGAGAUCAGAGCAGACAGAGAUCGGUCAGAGUGAUCAACCUUGGGGCCCCCUCGGCACUGUGAUGCACUGGAGGACGACGUUGACAAAGUCGAUGAUUAUCAACUUUAUUGUGAUGUUCGACCAGGUUCUACAUUGGAUAUACCAUUUAUUUAAGAAAAUGAGAAGGAGAUGAGAAGCUGAGUUAGAGAACUUCUUGAUUUGGAGCCUCGCAGUCCUGUGAUUCGCUAAGAUCAAAUAAUGAAAAAAGUCACACACAAAAAACAACAUGUACAGUCUAUUGCAAUGCACUGGUUGCCUGGAACCAACAUAACCCUGAUCAGCUUCUACCCCCAAGCCAUAAGACUGCUAAAUAGUUAAUCAAAUAGCUACCAGACUAUCUGCACUGACCAU